AGAGGAUAGCUGGGUCAAAUGGUGGUUCCAUUCCCAAUUUUCCAAGAAAUUUCCAUACUGUUUUCCAUAUUGGCUGCACCAAUUUGCAGUCCCAUCAGCAAU
rnacentral:pre_miRNA from 1 species